rnacentral:lncRNA from 1 species
UCCCCUUCCCUAGUUAUGCUAAUGAAAAUGCUAGUUCUUUUUAUGAGUUUGAUAGGUCUCAUAAUGCGAUAAAAGAAGCACAAUGUACUGGACAAAAAGGUAUUGAAGAAAUGCUUCAAACUAUAUUGGAUUGAAUAAUAAUAAUGGGAGAGGAUAUGCAUCUCUUACAUCAGUCCAUGAUGAAAUUUAGAAAGAAAAGUGAAAAAGAAGAAGAAGUGGGUGAGAAUGCCAACCUUUCAAGUUCCAUGAAUAUACCAAAUCCUCAAAAUAAAGUUGUUGUAAAAGAGAUUUCAAGCCAUGUGUUUAAGACAAAAAUAUGUGAUGACUCAAAAAAGUUAUCAAAAUAAAAAAAAUGGCUCAACUAGAAGAAGAAGAAAUCUCAGACUCUCCAAAAAGAAAAUUGGAGGAGAUAUUCAAAGUCACAUUGGAGAAGAAUGAAAAAUAUAGAAAAUGUUGGCUAAAUGGUGGAAUCUAUCCAAUAUGGUGAUGAUGAAGUUUUUGAAAAUAUUGAGUUUUCAAUGGAAGCACUUUUGCAAGAUAUAACUGAGUCUCAUAGUGAAGAAAAACUUGACAAGGAAGAAAUUGUGAUCCAAGAAUGGCUAAUGAAUCACUCUCAACAACUAGAAGUUCAUUAGGGUCAACACAAUAAUAUGUUACUAAUUGUAGAUGAAUCCCUCAAAUUGCAAUUUGAGCGAUAUCAAUUAUGGAUUAAAUUUGAAAUGGCCACUCAAAAAUUGAAAUGAAUUGAAUGUAAGAAUUGAAGCAUGUGGUGCUCAAAAUCAAAUAAAUAUGCAUG